CUGCUGUGUUUUAAAGCACAGAGUGUUUUACAGCUCAGCUAAAGAACUCCAUGUGAAAAAUUGCUUUACAUUGAUUUAGUUAAUGUUAAACAUUUAAGACUGUGUGCAUUUUUAAUAAGGAGGAAAAUGUUUUAAACGACGAUUUGCGUAUUUAUGACGCGCAAUCCAAGCAUCCAACCAGAUUAAAAUUUAUUUUUUUUCAACAUUUUGAAUGUUUAGAAGUUACACUGCCGUGCGUUUCUCCGGAGCCUAAAGCCUUAUUGAAUGAGUAAUUAGCCGAUGAUAAGUGAGGCUAUUUCCACGGCCAUAGGCUCAGAAAUAUGACUGUGCAAACUCUGCUGGAUGGGAGCAAACUUCCUCCAAAUUAACUUUCCGUCUCUCUCGGCUGUGUCAUUGAUUAAUGAGAACAGAUAGCCGCGGAUGCUGACGAGGUGCGGGGCGAUCUGUCUAAUUGAGGGGUGUCCCCAGCUCAAUAUUCAGGGAAUCUCUCUGCCACUCAGCGGCCUAAUGGGCCGCAUUAACAACGCUGUGCACAGCUGCCAGGACGCCUGCGGGAUACCGAUGUUCCCCCGGCUGCUCCCGCUUCGGCUGGCGCGCCAGCACUCCUCAGUGGAUGCUGACGGGAAAUCAAUGUGUUUCCCUUGCUGCUGACUGGAUCUAUAUGCGAGCAACCUCAUUGGGAAAUAUCGUGGGCAGGAGACGUUGAGGUGGCCCGAGAGAAGGAGAGACGGACAGAAAAGAGAUGCUGCUGGUGCGUUGGAGAGGCCGGCAGGGGUGAUGCAAAAGUGGAAGGAGAGGUUUCGGAAACUGUGACGCUGUGCUUUGUCAGCGCAGGGUGCAACACAGGGAGAAGGCCACAUCUGGAGUCCUCAACUGCAUGCAUUAUUUCAUCAUCAUGCAGAAAAUGGUGACCAUGCAAGUGGGAUUUCAGUUUGGGAAACAGAAGUCAGACGGUGCAGGUCGGGUGAGUAGGGUCUUCAGCAACAGAUCAAAGCCACAUUUUACUGUUUCUGCCACCUGUGCUAUGUGGACAGAUGCAUUUUCUUUGAGUGCUUCAAACAUUUGAGCUUUUGUAGACAGUGAUACGAUGUUUUAUGGUAUACAGGGGAGUUACAUGUCGCCAGGAGAAGCACUUUGGCAUAGAGUACUUACCAACGAAAAACUGGGAGGAUCUGUGUUGUAUGUUGCAGGCCUUAAACUUGUCUUUCCGUGUGUUCUGUUUGUAUGUAUGCUGCGAAGCAGAUAGAGAGCGAAAACCUCACCAUCUUUGUACUUGUUGCCAGUUGAUGCCGUUACUCUGAUCCCUCAGGGCUGGCAUGCUUGGUUGUCCAGGUGAUGGCUACCAUGGAGACAGAGGGCCUGACCGGUCUUGGCCCACUCUAUUACACCAACUGUGCCAACUUACCGUCAACUGGACACUAAACGACGGCGACACGUACGCCCCUCUCCUCUGCUGUGUACUGUGGGCACAUGUGCUCAAACCUGAGAAAAGAUAAACCAAAAGGGUGCGCAGCCAUUUGAAAUCAGGAGAUCUGAAAUCAGAUUUGCCACCCUCAGAUCUAACCACAUCAGUUAAAAGAGUGUUGAAAUAUCUGACCCGGCAUCAGUGGCGUAUGGGGAUGAUUUUCUUGUUGGUGGGCUAUAAGCAACACAGAGAAGAGAUUUGCGGAGACAGCCCAUAACAGCUCCCUUGGAACCAAUGACUCAGAUAUGCAGAUGUGUUUACUUCCCUUCUGUUUCCCACCUCAACCAGCACACAAAAGGCAGGGGGAAUGAAAGUGCCUGAUAAUGUCUUUAAGUGUUUCAUUUAUAUAUUUAUAUGCUGUUAUAAAGAACUCAUUUUUUACUAAAACUUAGACAAGCACUUCAAAUAGGCUCUUUGCCUCUUCCCUCUAUUCCCUCCCUCCCUUCUGAGGGUAUUCAUCUUUUGUCUAAUGCGUAGCGCUGCUCUCUGUUAGUUUCUUUUCUGACACCAUGCCAGCAGAGUCAUCUGCAAAGGGACUCAUGUAGGGAUUAAAAACCAUCAACAGCUCCCCUUUAACAGAGAGGUAGAAAAAAAACGUUGAAAAAUAAAAUACAAAAAAAACAAAACUCCAGACAGUUUUGUGAAAACUUGCAGAAAGCGAAUGCAGAUUGUCACCUGACCCUGAGGCAAGGCAGCCCUAAAUAUAAUAAAGAGAAGACAACAGAAGAAGACGAGGCGACACGACACGGGUAAUGUGUUUUCUCUGCUGGUGUCGUCUGGCAGAUCUGGGAUGAUUGAGUGCUGAUGCCUGCCUGGGCAGCUUCAGAGAAGAUCGUCUACCCCCUCCUCAGCUCGAACACACAUGCACACACGUGCACAGCUCUCUCACAUCACACACUGACACAUGUGUGCGUGCACACACACAUACAGAUUUUCUGUUGUCGAAGUGACAAAAACAUCAAGGCGUAUUAACUGUCAUCAUCUCGGCAUCUCUUCAUCUCUCUUUUUGGUCGAGGGAAUAUUUCAAGGUAACACUUUUUUAUUGUGGCGUGCCUGUGUUUGUGUGUGGUUUCUCUCCAUGGUGGAUGUGUGUCUUAAUUAUAACGAGGUUUAGUGAAUUAGGCCAGGAUGUGUAAUAGACUCAAAUUUGUAUAAUCUCUGUUGAAUAAACCCCAGUCACAAACAUGCAAGCAGAAAAUCAUACCUACUUACUGUACUUGCACGACUUCAAUGAAAAAUGAUGUAAAAAGGCGUGUUUGUGACAGUAAUUGAUAAUGUUUAUUUGCAAAAUGUGCAUAUUAAUCUCUGUGCAUUUGUAUAAUCACUCUGUAUUGUGAAAUUGUCAGCAGCAGAUACAGGCAAACAGGUGCUGGCUACAGAGGAAGUUGAUUGGCUGGUUUCCAUGAUCCAUUUUCCCAAGGCUUCCACACCCCUGCAGCUGUCCUCAAGAAUAUGAGAACCAUGUGUGUGCGCAUGUGUGUGUGUGCCUGUGUGUAUUCGUAGUGCAUGCUUGUGGUUAUGACAAAUUCACUCCUUGUUGCUUGCCAAUAAGCAAGACAAUGAUCUUCAUUGACAACGAAACAUAAAAUGCCAAACAAAUGGGCCAACAAAUAAAAGUAACUGGAGAAAAUUACCACCUGAAAUUUAACAGCCCUUCACUGAUUUGUGUCUUUUUUUGUUUGUUUUUUUGGACCAAUUUUAAGAUUUCUCAAAGUUUGAAAGAAUCUGGCCUGCUUGUGAAUCAGCUUCCCUGAUGUUCAAAGUGAAGUCAUGUAACAGGUUUUUUGAGCUUUUGGCUGUUUUGCAUGGUGGAACGUUUUGAACUGAGCAGUGACAGCCUCAGUCCAACUGAAGAGUCUACUUCAACUCGCCUCAUUUCUAUUGGAAAACACUUCUCUCUCCCCUCUCCCUCCUUCUCUCUCUCUCUGUCUCUCUCCCUCACCGUCCUCUCUCUCUGAAGCUGCAGAUCACUUGAAAAAGAAAGGGGAAGGAACAUGAAUAAAAACUGAAGGCACUUCUCUCAGAUAUGUCUCUUGAUGCUCGUCAGAUCUUUAAGGCUUCGUCACAGGGAAAUGCAGGGUUACUCUAAGAAACCGAAGGACUGUGACUUCCCUAAUCUACUGUACAAGACCUGAAUUUCAGGACUCACCUUCUUCACAGCAACUUUGCUUGCCUCUCUCGCAAUCUGGAUCUCUUCUAUAUGGCUUUCACUUAUUGAUGGGCAGGUGGAGGUGGAGUGUCACUCAAUCACCACUUUUCUUAGAAUUUGGAUGACAAGAAGAAAACUAGGGCCACAUUGUCAAAAGGAAGCAUGUCCUUGAUCAUUUCAUAUUCUCAUGCCACAAAAGAAAAAGAAAAAAUCACAAGAUAAACUUAAAUGUAAGAAGAAGUACAGAAGUUUACAUUAUUUAUUAUUAUGAUCCUGUAUGCAAUUUGUUCAGGUAAAUAUAAAUAUAACUUGUUAACUGGAUGAGUCUGUGUCCAAUAAAACUUUAAAAGGCUUAAAAACUUUUGUACUGAUUUAGGAUAUUAUUGAGAAAUUUCCAUGAGAGAAUUUCUUUUUACAACUGCAGUAGUAUUCAUACUGACUGCCAUCUAGUCCUGCGUAUUGUAGUUUGCAGGUCUGGAGGAGUAAAAGCUGAACCUGGGUUUGCCCUAUAAGUCUCUGAUGACUGAUAUUUUACGCAUAAUAAAAACACCCUUGUAAAGUGAAUCUGACUGGGUACCAGCAAUUCAAUAUCAAGCAACAGCAGAGUAAAUAAACUCCCAGCAGUGUCUGUUUUUCUCUGUCCAUUUCUCUGAAUUGGCCUUGAACAGGUUUGACCUCUAUAGAUGGAAGCUACAUGUAACAUUGGUUGUCCUUAACAUCAUCUUUAAAACUGGAAGGCGCCGCACAGAGUUGAAAUCAGCGAAAGCUGGAUUAUGCAGCGAGUAAUGCUGCUGUGACGAUUGCUGGCUGCAGUAAUGCCCAUAAGCCUUGAAUUUAACAGCUUCUGUUUCGUUCAUUGAUUCUGUACUUUCUCCUUUAUGUGAAAAAUUGCUUGUUUAAGUUUUGAUCGCAUGUUGUAUUAUAGUUAAACAUUAAGUAACUCUGCAACAGUAAUGCUUCUCUUAUUUUCUCUUUUUCUGCAGCCAUUUUAGGAAAACUAAAAUAAGAUGUGCUUAUUGGACAUUACCUGACUUAGAGGCGGACACAUAUUUGGAUGUACGUGGUUCAAUUCAACGUGAUGAGCAGAAGAGGAGAAAUUUAGUUAUGACUCAUGUUGAUCUUUUGGGGCUUGUGUCAGCACGGAUGAUGGGAUAAAUUUGGGAGGGUGACUUGGCCUGAGGUCUUGUGUUCUCUGUAGUCAGAGUCCAUUGCAACAGUUCACCCUCAUGACAAGACAGAGAACAGCACCCCCUGUUGGAGAGCAACAGCAUUGCUUUGAGGGGCAGCAUAGAAAAAAAACUGUAUGACCUCAGGUUGACCUUAUGUCUUGUGACCUGCAGUGUGAGGUGACAGCUUUAACUUUCUUAAACAGUAUGUUCUUGUUUAUUCAUUGUGUUUUCACCUUUUAGAGAAUUGACACAAACGAAGCACUUUAUGCUGAGUGUCCUGCCUUUAAUUGUCUAUUUCUUUUGCUCAAAAUAAUAGUGAAGAAGUGUGACUGAGAUUUCUAUUGUUCUUGUCUGUUGUUGUCACUGCAGUUCCUCCUCCCCUCUCUGCUACCUGGACAUCGCAUAGCCAACAGAUUAAUUAGACAACUGAUAGUAGUGCUCUCUCUUAGUGCUGGCCCACUGAGUUUUCUUUUUCUUUUUCACUUCUUGUAAGUCUCUAAUUUCUGUCUUUACAUUAAUGGAGCUUACUUGGCGUGCUGACCCAGUGGAAGCAAAAAUUAAGUCUCCUUUUUUCCUCCAGGGGGGCUGCAGCUUAUUCUGCAGCUAGUUUGCUUCAUCCAUUUGGUGAGGGAAAACAUUACACCAGACAGUUUUGUUAGACCUUACAGAUCCUGAAAAAAAAAAGCUUGCAUGUCAUUAGCGCUUUUGCACUGUAUCGCUCAAUCUUACAGAGAAGGUUGCAAUCUAUAAAUAAAAGCAAAGGGCGUUUUGUGAGAGCAACCACAGUUUCAUGUUCUUCUAUUCAAUGUCUGUCAACCCUCUCUGGACGAGGGUCCACGUUGGUUGCCUUGGAAACCAGCAUAGGACUAUUCUGAGUGCCCAGUAGUGAGAGAGAGAGGAAGCGAGUGUAGUAAAGGUAAGUCACUCAAGGACUAUCUGGUCAACCUGAUAAAGUGUGAUGAAAAUCAAAGGCCACGACUCAGCGUCGCCUGCGAUUCUGAAGAGAAAGAAAGAGAAAAAAAAGUGAUUUCUCUUCUGAAAGCUUUGAAAAGAGUUUAACACAAUGGACCAAAUAUUGUGCUGCUCUCCGAGCAUGUCUUAUAAAGUGGAAGAAUCAAUAGAAUAACUAGAGAAUAAAUUUACUUUCUCCUCCAAUGUACGAACAGUGCAGUAUGUUCAAAAGAUGAUGCCACAUCUGACUGGGUCCUAGACAUUUCUUUAUAUUUUUUUCUUGAAAACAUUUUUACACAUCCCUUCUGCGCUAUCUGUGCAUUAAUUACAUGUGUCUGAAGUGCAAGCCACACUUGUUACACCAAACCAUUAUGUAUGAGUCCAGGUCUGGGGCUCCACGCUUUUUAUUCAUGUUCUUUGAGGAGGCUGUCAGGCAUAAUUAAGACAACAUGCUUCUAACCAGUCUGUUUGGAUAGCCUCUGCCUCCCAACCCCCCUCACACUUCACUCUGCCUGAAUCUGCCGCUGCAAACGCACGUCAGUCCUUUGUAUGUAUCACAAAGCGCAGGGAUGCAGGCAAGUGUGUAACAGUGACUAUAUCUAGUUUAGUUUGAGCAAAGGCAACAGAUGGCAGGAAAAUACCCAAUUUGUUCAUCUCUAACAUCUAAUUGCAGUGUGGAAGUUUAAGGCAAGAAAAGAGACAGAAACAAAACAUUUCAGGUUUACUCUUCAGAUAAAAACAACUGUACCGCUUCUCCAUUCCUGCUAUAUUUACACUCAUGAACAUUUUGCAGGCAAAAAGCUGCUGUGAGAUCAGUGUUUGUUUUCCUUCUUUUUCCCCUCUCCUCACUCUUCCCUUGUGAUCCAAGGUGACAGGGCAGGGCGGAUAGGACGAGCAAGCCUGUAGAGCAAGGGGCAGUGAGAGAACAGUCUGGACAAUAUGGACGGGAAACAUAGGCCUGUUGGUGUUGUAGAGACACUCCAGAGGGCAUAAUUCAAUCAUAGCUGUGAUGAAGACAGAGAGACAGAGUUGCGCGAUAAACUGGGAGAAUUGGAGGCAGAGGAGAGCGGAUAGAGGCAUGAGUAGAAAGAAUCAGAUUACCAUGCUCUUAAAGGGGAGGGGAGGAUGACACUCAUCCGACCUGAUUUAAACGACAGAAGCGUAAGGAAUGAAGUCCUCAGUUCGUCUGUACCCAGACCCUGCUAGGGAGCGAUGAGUGUGAGAGAGGGGAGCAGAAGAAUCGGUCAUGCUUGGAGUGAGAUGGUGCCUAAUCGUCCAGAGGCCCGGACUGAGUAACUGUGACUGGGUGCAUCCACUGCUGAGCGAGCGGCAGGGACAAUCUGAAAAGCUAAAAAGCCAUAAUCAGGUUUUUUACGCAAACGGGCAAGCACGGCUUGCAUGUGGGCUGCUUGGGGCUAUGUGUGAUGAGGCCGUCAGCCGCUAGUGGUCCACAGACAUGACACAAGUCAUUUCACCUCAGCUCCACUCUGCUCAUGCACAUUCACAGGAUGGUAAUCAUGCCCUGCGCUCUCUGGCUGAUGCUGUCUGUGUGAAUGUAGCCCAUCUGUGCAGCUGGUUGGCUGGAUUGAUGGUUUUUAGUCUACCUAUUGGAAUAUCUUUUCUUUUCCCUUUCACUCUCUAUUCUAUUCACUCUUUGCUUAAGGGUUGUCUAUUUCUGUCUUUCUUCAACAAUCAGGUGCUGUAAUGGUGUCAAACAUUGGUGAGAAACAAUUUCAUCCUUACAGUAAGAGCCCCUGUGAUUAUAACUGAUGGGCCCAGAUAGUUUCCUUUCAGGUGUGUGUGUAGUUCGUUCUUCUCCCUGAGUUUAUGUCAGCAUGAAUGUGUGUAUGUGUUUAUGUGCGCGCAUGUUUGUCUUAGACUAUUGAUCUGGCCAGCCUACAGCAGACAUUAAAUGAGAAGAGUGGAGGCUGAUGUCGACAAGGAGAGAGAUGGAAAGAGUGAUGGAUGGCAAUAAAGGAAAGGGAGCUGUAGGCAGUCAGAUCACAUUUAUCUUUUUGAUGUUGCCAUUUUGAAGUGUAAAACAUGGAGAAUGCAUUUAAAGGUCUAUCUAACAAUGUAAAAAUUGAAUCUUUGUGCAUUUUUUUUGCAGCUUUUUCAAGACGGUCCCUGCAUGUCUCCAUUUCAGUUGCAACUGGUGCGAACCGCAAGAUGUGAAGCCAGAUGUGGACACCGAAGUGGACGUGGUACAAAUACACACACUCACUUGCAAUAAAUGUGCUCUUAUAAAUCAAUUUUUCUCUACUGUACAGACACAACCGGAUUGAAGGAAGUGGCUCGGAAAUAUCAAAACAACCUUGGGGAGCUUGAGCUCACAGUGAACACUGUGUGCCUCCACUACGUGGGCUCUUUAUAUCUCUCCUAUUCAAUCAAUGUGCUCCCCUCUCUUUCGUCCAUUAAUUUGGUCUCUCUCUCACUCUGUAUGCAUUAUUUGUGCCACUGUACUGUUUGUCCUCUUCAGUGGGUAUCAUAAAGCAGUGGGGAAGACACACACACAAACACACACCCACAAACUCGUGUGUAAUGCAUUCAGAGCAUUUGAAAUGUCAAAGUGUUACAGGCGCGAUGACUUAACUAGUUCUACCCAAUCGAGGGACACAGCAAAUGAACAGGUUCUCUUAGUCUGUCAUUAUAUGAAUUACAUUAUGAUUACAUGCCACACACAUACACACAAGAAUGUAUAUUUAUAUAUGCACACUUGGGAAAAACAUAAAUGUAAUGGCACGUCUUUGCCAAGUAUAGUAAAAGGCAUUCUUCGAGUGUACACAGUAACUCAUGGACACACCCAAGUAUUGUGUGUUCACAUGCAAACAGAGACACGUGUGUAAGUUGUUGCAGUAUAUACAUACAACGCACAGCACUCAAGAGGUCAAGAGCACCAUCUGUGCAUGUUCAAUUCUUAAUUAGAUUCGCAGCCACUGAAUAAUGUAUUUGUGUGACCAAAAUAGAUUGGAACUGGAGAAUACCUGAAAUUACAUAUUUGACACAUUGUUCGACGUCUUGGAAAUCAUUGUGUUUUUCUUUCCUAUUUCCUGGUGUCGAGCCGUUUAGUCAGUCUCAUUAAUUCAAGCGUCCUGCGGAUGUUAAAGUGAUACCCCCCCCCAAAAUUUAUUUUCACACUCUCUCUCUCUCUCUCUCUCUCUCUGGCUUACUCUUUUAGUGGCAGUCAAAAGUUUUGUAAGUUGCCUCCUGGUUGGAGAACCGUAGUAUGUUUACCUGCAGUUCUUUUCCACUGGAAUGUGCAGUUUUAAACAGUCUGAAUGCCUAAUCUGACUAUACAAUUGCCAUUAUAUAAAAUAUUAAUAAAUACACAAAUGAGUAGGUAUGGGUACAAUAA